CUGGAGCCAUCCUCGUGUGGUGUAGAGUUGUUGACACCACCGCGUCGUGGAGCCCUACGCACUGUGGUGCUUCUUUCCUGCCCCUCCCAUGGCGGCUCCCCUGGAUCCCUCCUCUGCUCGGCCGCCUCCCUGGAGUCCAAGUCCGGACGCCGCUCUAGCCUUCUCCUUUCUCUCUUCUCUAGCCCUGUCUGGCCUCCAGCUUCAGCCAUGGUGGCCUGUCCAUCUCCCUGAUAUUUCCCCAAGCCACGCCGGUGGACCCCGCCUCGGCCAUCGUCGUCAAUGUCGCGCUUGCCGGUGGCCAAUCAACCGUCUCGUAGUCGUCGGGCUGCCAGCGCUCGCCCAGCGCCCCUGCCUCAAUGUCUGCCAGUUUUUAGCCUCCAGAGCAUUUCCUCCCUCGCCAAAGCUCGUCAGUCGCCCCUGCCUUCAAUAGAGCUCGCGUUCAGGACGCUGGACCUUGUCCUCGCGUUUGCUUUGCUCAGCGUCAACCUUCCGGCCAUACGUCAUCGUCAUGGCGCUCAGCCCUCUCAAGCCGGCGGUCUGUUCUUGGACCACGCCCCUGCAGCAGCACGUCUUCUGAGUCAUCGUCGUGGUCUCUGCCUUGUCGUGCUACGUCACGCAUCGUCAACCCCUCUGGUCUCCAAUCGCAGCACGCCUGUCUACGUCGUCGUCUCUGACUCUGCCUACGUCUUGCAUCGUCAAGUCGCCCGCAACCGUGUUAUUGGCGUUCGUCUGUCGGUGGUCGCAGUCUCCUCGUCGCUCGCUGUGAGCGUCAUUCUAUGACCGCGUAUGCAUCUACGGUGUUGAUGGUGAUGUCCGCGCAGUGCCGCCAGGUGCUCGGUGAAAGGCCUGAGCCAUGGGUUAUCGUCCUGUUCGGGGAUAUCUAUUCGACUUGGUACGUUAAGUGAUCAUGUGAUGUGAAGGACCAGAGGUGAGUCGACCACAAGAUGGUGUUAAGUGCGGGCUAAUCGCAUGGUGAUGUUGAUGGACAAACCGAAAGAUGGAUAACUUGAUAAAGUGCUAGGAUAAAGGAUGAUCGUCAAGUGGACGUCGUCUAACAAACACUAACCUAGUGUUAUCCAGGCAAGCCCCGGUGCAUUUGCCACCUUCCUUGUAUUACAAAAUUUUAUCACUUAUAUGCUGCAUUAGGUAAUAGGAGUUGAAUGAUUAAACACUUGAUGCAUUACCAUCCUUGAAAGAUUGAUUAUCAUA